AAACCUUUGCGCGCUCAAUAUAAUACCUUGAAUGCGAUGGUGCUUCAGAAUUCUGGGUUUCAAUUUGAUCAAUAGUUGUAAAUACUAAUCAUGCCCGAUCCAGCCUGCAAAUGUGGAGAUGAGUUGUGCACAUGCGGUGAAGAGUGCACGUGCGGGAAGGAAGACGGAUGCAAGUGCACUACGUGCAACAAAAAAGGUGAAGCUGAGACGGAAGCAAGUCCGUGCAAGUGUUCAAAAGGAGAAUCCUGCACGUGUGCGUCAUGCACGUGCAGUAAGAAGGAAUAGUUCCCAUAUAUUUGUUUGGCUGGACCGAAGUAUUUGUCUGACAUAA